AUUGUAAACAAUAUUAUUAAUACUCAAAUUAUCAAAAUUAUCAAAAUUAUCAAUGUCUGUCAUUUUAUGAGUAGUUUUCAGCUUUCGCCUUAAAUAUCGGAGUCGAACAGUUAUUCGUCAGUGUAGUCUCGUCGGUGUGAUCCAGAUAGGAGUGCUUCCAAAGCCAACCAGGCUCAGCUACUCAGGAGAAACGCUAACUCAAAAGACAGCUCAACA
rnacentral:lncRNA from 1 species